UGAAGUGGCAGACUUCAGUAAUGUCACUUGACAUUGCCGCGGGGUAGGUUUUAUCGUUUAUUUCUUUCGUAUUUUUGUCGGAAAAUUUGGGAACGAAAAUGGCCAAGGGGAGAAAAUUUAGGCAAGCCAAAAUUCCCAGAUAUUUGCCUGGGGAGGUGCAAGAAGAUGAGCGUAAGAAUGACUUGAAAAUGUUUAAUACCCAUCGCCGUAACAUAUUCUAUGCCAGAGCCCUGGUGGACGAUCAUCCACCCAAAAUGAACCCAUUCAAAUAUCUAGACAUGAAAAAGAUGAAGGAAGACGCUCAAAGACUCCGCGAUAUAGAUAUAGAAAAUAAAGGGUUGCUAAAAAAAAUCAACACAAUCAACCGACUGGGCGGUAAAGUGGAUACCUAUAAUCCCUUAGCUUACAGAAGAGUCAACAAAUGGCGGGCUUAUAAUGUAGCUUUAAAGAAAAUUGAGAGGAAGAAUAAGGACUUAUAUGAUCUUAUUAAAACCGCGAAAACCUUUUAUAACAAUAAACUGUUUGAUGAAGAGUGGAAUAGGACUCUGGCAAAAAUCAAGCACAUUUGUAAAUACCCAGUAUGCAUUGUGAAAAAACCUUCUUUAGACACCGAGUUAAAGCAAGCCCUAUCAAUUAGUCAUCUGCUAACAUGCAAAAGGCCUGAACUACGACCUUUUUGCUUCCUAGACUUUCGAGUAAAAAAUGGAAAAUAUUUGGGACGUAUUGUAAUCGAAUUGUACUACGAUCACGUGCCUGUAACUGUACAAAAUUUCCUUGAAAUAUGCAAAGGUACAGGCUUAACUUAUAGAGAUAACUUGGUGCACAGAAUUAUUAUGGGACAGUAUAUGGAGAUGGGUGAUAUAACCCAGUGUAAUGGUAGAGGAGGCUUUUCCAUCUACGGAAAGUCAUUCGCGGAGGAGAAUCAUAAAUUGAGACAUACUAAAGCAGGUGUUUUAUCCAUGAAGAGAAUUGGGUGGGCAGAAAACAACUCACAAUUUUGCAUAACAUUUCGUAAAAUGGAACAGCUCGAUCACAAGAACGUUGUUUUUGGCAACGUUAUAAAAGGAAACGAUAUUUUGAUGGAUAUUCAGUAUUAUGGGAGAAAAAUUGGAAAACCAUUGGAAGAGAUAAUUAUAUCGAACUGUGGAGAAUAUAAGAUUAUCUGGAAAUGAUCGAACAUUUACCCCAAGAACUCAGAGAUAGAUUUACUGAUAUGAGGGAAAUGGACUUAAGUAUACAUAAUAAUAUGGACGAACUU
rnacentral:misc_RNA from 1 species